rnacentral:misc_RNA from 1 species
GAGCAGAAACAAUGUCUCAAAUAUUCAUACUCACAUUUAACACAUUAAUUAGGACAUCUUAUUACAAAGACUCUUGGUAGUACAUGUCACAAAACUGCAAUGUUUUUAAUUUCUUAACUAAAGCAUAUGUAUAUGCGCUACAGCAAUUAGAUUGAAAUAAUGUGACUAUGAAUAUUUGAGACAUUGUUUCUGCUCAUCAUAUUGUUGGCCUCAUGUUGAGGUGAGAAGCAAGCUUCUGGCCCAGAGACUUGCAAGCCUGAGACCAGUAUGAAAUCCAAAUACUGCGGAUUUCAUAGGUAACCCUUGGGUCAGACAAGGCCUUAACCCAACGUCGAACAAAUCGCUCUUGCCUGUCUGGUGAAAAGGAACGGUAUCUGUCCCCAGGCUGCUUGAAGUUAUUCUCCUUUGGAAUGACAGACUUCUCACGCUGUCCAGUGAGAAUAGCAGGAGGAAUAGGGUACUUCUCAGCAUGACGAACAAGAUCGUACCUUGAAGGGAAGUAAUUGACCUCCUCAUCCCUAUGCAUAAAAUUCAUGAAACCAUCAUGGUGAUUGUU